rnacentral:rRNA from 1 species
UACAGAGGUCUCAAGCGUUGUUCGGAUUCAUUGGGCGUAAAGGGUGCGUAGGCGGCGCGGUAAGUCGGGUGUGAAAGUCCAGGGCUCAACCCUGGAAUGCCGGUGGAAACUGUCGAGCUAGAGUCCGGAAGAGGCGAGUGGAAUUCCUGGUGUAGCGGUGAAAUGCGCAGAUAUCAGGAGGAACACCAAUGGCGAAGGCAGCUCGCUGGGACGGUACUGACGCUGAGACGCGAAAGCGUGGGGAGCAAACAGG